UACGUAGGGGGCUAGCGUUGUCCGGAAUCAUUGGGCGUAAAGAGCGCGUAGGCGGCCAGAUAAGUCCGGUGUGAAAGUCACAGGCUCAACCUGUGAAUGCCGCUGGAAACUGUCUGGCUAGAGUCCGGGAGGGGCGAGUGGAAUUCCUGGUGUAGCGGUGAAAUGCGCAGAUAUCGAGGAGAACACAGUGGACGGAAGGAGCUGCGGCGGAACGGUACUGA
rnacentral:rRNA from 1 species